rnacentral:rRNA from 1 species
ACGGGUGAGUAACGCGUGAGAAUCUGCCUUGGGGUCGGGGACAACCACUGGAAACGGUGGCUAAUACCGGAUAAGCCUUUGGGUAAAAAAUUUAUUGCCCCAAGAGGAGCUCGCGUCUAGAUUAGCUAGUAGGUGAGGUAAAAGCUCACCAAGGCAGCGAUCAGUAGCUAGGUCUGAGAGGACGAUCAGCCACACUAGGGACUAGAGACACGGCCCAGACUCCUACGGGAGGCAGCAGUGGGGAAUAUUCCGCAAUGGGCGAAAGCCUGACGGAGCAAGACCGCGUAGAGGGAGGAAGGCUCUUGGGUUGUAAACCUCUAUAUCUCAGGGAAGAAGCUCUGACGGUACCUAGAGGAAUCAGCCUACGGCUAACUCCGUGCCAGCAGCCGCGGUAAUACGGAGGAGGCAAGCGUAUAUCCGGAAUUAUUGGGCGUAAAAGCGCCCGCAGGUAGCGAUUCAAAGUCUAGCUGUCAAAGCACGGGGCUUAAACCUCCGUUAAGGGACUGGAAACCUGAAUAGCUAGAGUGCCGUAGGGGUAGAGGGAAUUCCCGGUGUAGCG